rnacentral:rRNA from 1 species
AACUAACGCUGGCGGCGCGUCUUAAGCAUGCAAGUCGGACGGGAACCUUGGGCCGCAAGGCUUGAGGUGAGAGUGGCGGACGGGUGAGUAACACGUAGGUGAUCUGCCCUUGGGUGGGGAAUAGCCCAUGGAAACAUGGGGUAAUACCGCAUGAGGUCUUGGCCUUUUGGGGCUUUGAUGAAAGGAGCAAUUGCUCCGCCUGGGGAUGAGCCUGCGGUCCAUUAGCUAGUUGGUGAGGUAAGGGCCCACCAAGGCGACGAUGGAUAGCCGGCCUGAGAGGGUGAACGGCCACACUGGAACUGAGACACGGUCCAGACUCCUACGGGUGGCAG